AAACAGGAUUCGAGUUCUAU
rnacentral:snRNA from 1 species